rnacentral:piRNA from 1 species
UGUUAACAAUCACUUUACUGAGCAAAUAUU